AUAAAGGUGAUGAUCAAGAGCAGUAGAAUUUUGAAAUUGAAAUUAGAGACUAAGCGGAUGGUGAAAGCUUAGCAAGUUCGGAUUUGAAAUAUGGCUUGUGAGCCUUGACGAGAAAUCGUCACGUGGCAGGCGUUAACUGUUUAGAGGCAGUAUGAAAGCUAUACUGUAAAUUAAGGUGGUAACACGGGUUCUCUCGUCCUUUGA
rnacentral:ncRNA from 1 species